rnacentral:rRNA from 1 species
UACGUAGGGUGCAAGCGUUGUCCGGAAUUAUUGGGCGUAAAGAGCUCGUAGGCGGUUUGUUGCGUCGGCUGUGAAAUCCCGAGGCUCAACCUCGGGUCUGCAGUCGAUACGAGCAAACUAGAGUGUUGCAGGGGAGACUGGAAUUCCUGGUGUAGCGGUGAAAUGCGCAGAUAUCAGGAGGAACACCGGUGGCGAAGGCGCUCAUCUGGCC